GGUGUUGUGGCUCAGCGGUAGAGCGCUUGCCUCUCAAGCGUGAGGCCCUGAGUUCGAUUCUCAGCACCACAU
rnacentral:tRNA from 1 species